AUCCCUCUGGUGGUCAGGAGUAGGUAUAACAGCAGUACAGCUCUGGGGGUGCAGUGUUGAGGUGCUGGUGCUCCCUCUGCUGGUCUGCAGUAGGUAUAACAGCAGUACAGCUCUGGGGGUGCAGUGUGGAGGUGCUGGUGCUCCCUCUGCUGGUCUGCAGUAGGUAUAACAGCAGUACAGCUCUGGGGGUGCAGUGUGGAGGUGCUGGUGCUCCCUCUGCUGGUCAGGAGUAGGUAUAACAGCAGGUACAGCUCUGGGGGUGCAGUGUGGAGGUGCCGGUGCUCCCCCUGCUGGUCUGCAGUAGGUAUAACAGCAGGUACAGCUCUGAGGGUACAGUGUGGAGGUGCUGGUGCUCCCCCUGCUGGUGUGGAGUAGGUAUAACAGCAGGUACAGCUCUGAGGGUACAGUGUGGAGGUGCUGGUGCUCCCUCUGCUGGUCUGCAGUAGGUAUAACAGCAGUACAGCUCUGGGGGUGCAGUGUGGGGUGCUGGUGCUCCCUCUGCUGGUCAGGAGUAGGUAUAACAGCAGGUAGAGCUCUGGGGGUGCAGUGUGGAGGUGCUGGUGCUCCCCCUGCUGGUCUGCAGUAGGUAUAACAGCAGUACAGCUCUGGGGGUACAGUGUGGAGGUGCUGGUGCUCCCCCUGCUGGUCUGCAGUAGGUAUAACAGCAGUACAGCUCUGGGGGUGCAGUGUGGAGGUGCUGGUGCUCCCCCUGCUGGUGUGGAGUAGGUAUAACAGCAGGUACAGCUCUGAGGGUACAGUGUGGAGGUGCUGGUGCUCCCUCUGCUGGUCUGCAGUAGGUAUAACAGCAGUACAGCUCUGGGGGUGCAGUGUGGAGGUGCUGGUGCUCCCUCUGCUGGUCUGCAGUAGGUAUAGCAGCAGUACAGCUCUGGGGGUGCAGUGUGGAGGUGCUGGUGCUCCCUCUGCUGGUCUGCAGUAGGUAUAGCAGCAGUACAGCUCUGGGGGUGCAGUGUGGAGGUGCUGGUGCUCCCUCUGCUGGUCUGCAGUAGGUAUAACAGCAGUACAGCUCUGGGGGUGCAGUGUGGAGGUGCUGGUGCUCCCUCUGCUGGUCAGGAGUAGGUAUAACAGCAGGUACAGCUCUGGGGGUGCAGUGUGGAGGUGCCGGUGCUCCCCCUGCUGGUCUGCAGUAGGUAUAACAGCAGGUACAGCUCUGAGGAUACAGUGUGGAGGUGCUGGUGCUCCCCCUGCUGGUGUGGAGUAGGUAUAACAGCAGGUACAGCUCUGAGGGUACAGUGUGGAGGUGCUGGUGCUCCCUCUGCUGGUCUGCAGUAGGUAUAACAGCAGUACAGCUCUGGGGGUGCAGUGUGGAGGUGCUGGUGCUCCCCCUGCUGGUCAGGAGUAGGUAUAACAGCAGUACAUCUCUGGGGGUGCAGUGUGGAGGUGCUGGUGCUCCCUCUGCUGGUCACGCUAGGUAUUUCAGGAGUCUUGAUGUCUGAAUGGAAACAGUCACAGAUAAUAAUCUUUUUCUAUAGCGCCACCAUAUUCCGCAGCGCUUUACAAUUUAGAGAGUUCUUGUACAAAACAAGACGUCACAGAGUUACCGGUUAAUAUACAACUGAAACACUAGGAGUGAGGACCCUGCUCACAAGAGCUUACAAUCUAUGAGGAAGUGGGGGGGGGGGGACGACGACACAAAAGGUAGUUGAUUGUGAAAUGACGUGUUCCAGCCAUCUUUGGACUGAACG